rnacentral:rRNA from 1 species
GAUGAACGCUGACAGAAUGCUUAACACAUGCAAGUCUACUUGAACUUCGGUUUGGGUGACGGACGGGUGAGUAACGCGUAAAGAACUUACCUCACAGUUAGGGACAACAUUUGGAAACGAAUGCUAAUACCUGAUAUUAUGAUUUUAGGGCAUCCUAAGAUUAUGAAAGCUAUAUGCGCUGUGAGAGAGCUUUGCGUCCCAUUAGCUAGUUGGAGAGGUAACGGCUCACCAAGGCGAUGAUGGGUAGCCGGCCUGAGAGGGUGAACGGCCACAAGGGGACUGAGACACGGCCCUUACUCCUACGGGAGGCAGCAGUGGGGAAUAUUGGACAAUGGACCAAAAGUCUGAUCCAGCAAUUCUGUGUGCACGAUGACGUUUUUCGGAAUGUAAAGUGCUUUCAGUUGGGAAGAAAAAAAUGACGGUACCAACAGAAGAAGUGACGGCUAAAUACGUG